rnacentral:misc_RNA from 1 species
GAUGAAGAUCGUAGCGAAAUGCGAUAAGUAGUGUGAAUUGCAGAAUUCAGUGAAUCAUCGAAUCUUUGAACGCACAUUGCGCCCUUUGGUAUUCCAAAGGGCAUGCCUGUUCGAGCGUCAUUUGUACCCUCAAGCUUUGCUUGGUGUUGGGCGUCUUGUCUCUAGCUUUGCUGGAGACUCGCCUUAAAGUAAUUGGCAGCCGGCCUACUGGUUUCGGAGCGCAGCACAAGUCGCACUCUCUAUCAGCAAAGGUCUAGCAUCCAUUAAGCCUUUUUUUCAACUUUUGACCUCGGAUCAGGUAGGGAUACCCGCUGAACUUAAGCAUAUCAAUAAGCGGAGGA